UACAGAGGGUGCAAGCGUUAAUCGGAAUUACUGGGCGUAAAGCGAGCGUAGGUGGCUUGAUAAGUCAGAUGUGAAAUCCCCGGGCUUAACCUGGGAACUGCAUCUGAAACUGUUAGGCUAGAGUAGGUGAGAGGAAGGUAGAAUUCCAGGUGUAGCGGUGAAAUGCGUAGAGAUCUGGAGGAAUACCGAUGGCGAAGGCAGGCUUCUGGCAUCAUACUGACACUGAGGCUCGAAAGCGUGGGUAGCAAACAGG
rnacentral:rRNA from 1 species